rnacentral:rRNA from 1 species
CUACGGGUUGCACCAGUGGGGAAUAUUGCACAAUGGAGGAAACUCUGAUGCAGCAACGCCGCGUGGAGGAUGACACUUUUCGGAGCGUAAACUCCUUUUAUAUAGGAAGAAGAUGACGGUACUAUAUGAAUAAGCGCCGGCUAACUCCGUGCCAGCAGCCGCGGUAAUACGGAGGGCGCAGGCGUUACUCGGAAUCACUGGGCGUAAAGAGCGUGUAGGCGGAUUAAAAAGUCAGAAGUGAAAUCCUAUAGCUUAACUAUAGAACUGCUUCUGAAACUCUUAAUCUAGAAUAUGGGAGAGGUAGAUGGAAUUUCUGGUGUAGGGGUAAAAUCCGUAGAGAUCAGAAGGAAUACCGAUUGCGAAGGCGAUCUACUAGAACAUUAUUGACGCUGAGACGCGAAAGCGUGGGGAGCAAACAGGAUUAGAUACCCGUGUAGUC